ACAGUAUAUAGUGAAUCAUCGAAUCUUUGAACGCAUCUUGCACUUUUUAGGUCUCCUAGAAAGUAUACUUGUUUGAGUAUCAUUAACAUUAACUCCAAGCUUCGGCUUGGGAAUUGAGGCUUUAAGCAGCGCAAGUUGCCUAUGUCUUUUAAGUGAUACGUAGAGUGUUGUGCUAGUCACAAGCCCCUUUACCAAAUGUGAGAUAAACAUCGCACAGAUUAGUUUAGAAGGUUAAGCUUUACUACGCCUAGAGGUGUGUUUAUUACACACUUCAACCCCACUGAAUCAGUGAUCUCAAGUCAAGUAAGACUACCCGCUGAACUUAAGCAUAUCAAUAAGCGGAGG
rnacentral:rRNA from 1 species